AACGAACGCUGGUGGCGUGUUUUAUACAUGCAAGUCGAGCGAGGACUGUAGCAAUACAGAGCCGAGCGGCGAACGGGUGAGUAACGCGUAAGCAAUCUGCCCCGCAAUCGGGAAUAACUGUUCCAACGGACAGCUAAUGCCGGAUAUCGUGGCCCUUCGCCUGGAGGUUGACGAAAGAUUUAUUGUUGCGGGAUGAGCUUGCGUCCGAUUAGCUAGUUGGCGGGUAACGGCCCACCAAGGCGACGAUCGGUAUCCGGCCUGAGAGGGUGAUCGGACACAUUGGGACUGAGAUACGGCCCAGACUCCUACGGGAGGCAG
rnacentral:rRNA from 1 species